rnacentral:rRNA from 1 species
CACGUAGGGCGCAAGCGUUGUCCGGAAUUAUUGGGCGUAAAGAGCUCGUAGGCGGUCUGUUGCGUCCGCUGUGAAAACCCGGGGCUUAACCCCUGGCUUGCAGUGGAUACGGACAGACUAGAGGUAGGUAGGGGGGAAUGGAAUUCCCGGUGUAGCGGUGAAAUGCGCAGAUAUCGGGAGGAACACCGGUGGCGAAGGCGGUUCUCUGGGCCUUACCUGACGCUGAGAAGCGAAAGCGUGGGGAGCGAACAGG